rnacentral:ncRNA from 1 species
CGCCCUGGCGGGUAACCGCCCGGGUGAUCGGUCAGAAGUCAGCAGAGGCCAUAGUAGCCCAACGCCCGGUGUAAUGGCCGGGACAUGGCGAAGGGC